UGGGGAAUAUUGCACAAUGGGCGCAAGCCUGAUGCAGCCAUGCCGUGUGUAUGAAGAAGGCCUUCGGGUUGUAAAGCACUUUCAGUCGGGAGGAAGGUGUCAAGGUUAAUAACCUUGGCAAUUGACGUUACCGACAGAAGAAGCACCGGCUAACUCCGUGCCAGCAGCCGCGGUAAUACGGAGGGUGCAAGCGUUAAUCGGAAUUACUGGGCGUAAAGCGCACGCAGGCGGUUGAUUGAGUCAGAUGUGAAAUCCCCGGGCUUAACCCGGGAAUUGCAUCUGAUACUGGGCAGCUAGAGUCUUGUAGAGGGGGGUAGAAUUCCAUGUGUAGCGGUGAAAUGCGUAGAGAUGUGGGGGAAUACCGGUGGCGAAGGCGGCCCCCUGGACAAAGACUGACACUCAGGUGCGAAAGCGUGGGGAGCAAACAGG
rnacentral:rRNA from 1 species